GAUGAACGCUAGCUACAGGCUUAACACAUGCAAGUCGAGGGGUAACGAGAGGAAAGCUUGCUUUCCUUGUCGACGACCGGCGCACGGGUGAGUAACGCGUAUCCAACCUGCCCCCAACUAGGGAAUAACCUUGCGAAAGUAAGACUAAUACCCUAUAAUUUCCUCAGAUGUCAUCUGACGAGGAAUAAAGAUUUAUCGGUUGUGGAUGGGGAUGCGUCUGAUUAGCUUGUUGGCGGGGUAACGGCCUACCAAGGCAACGAUCAGUAGGGGUUCUGAGAGGAAGGUCCCCCACAUUGGAACUGCGACACGGUCCAAACUCCUACGGGAGGCAGCAGUGAGGAAUAUUGGUCAAUGGGCGGAAGCCUGAACCAGCCAAGUAGCGUGCAGGAUGACGGCCCUAUGGGUUGUAAACUGCUUUUAUACAGGAAUAAAGUUAGCCACGUGUGGUUAUUUGUAGGUACUGUAUGAAUAAGGACCGGCUAAUUCCGUGCCAGCCGCCGCAGUAA
rnacentral:rRNA from 1 species